rnacentral:rRNA from 1 species
UACAGAGAGUGCAAGCGUUAAUCAGAAUUACUGGGCGUAAAGCGCACGUAGGUGGAUACCUAAGUCAGAUGUGAAAGUCCUGGGCUUAACCCCGGGAAUUGCACCUGAUACUGGGUAUCUUGAGUAUGGUAGAGGGAAGUGGAAUUUCCGGUGUAGCGGUGAAAUGCGUAGAUAUCGGAAGGAACACCAGUGGCGAAGGCGGCUUCCUGGACCAAUACUGACACUGAGGUGCGAAAGCGUGGGGAGCAAACAGG